GCCUCUCCUUCUUAUUUUUCUCUUAAAUUUUUUUAUAGAAAAUCCUUGAUCUAUAAAGAUUUAAUGGUCCGAUCUUCAAUCUGUUUUCGGUAACGUGAUCUACGAAGUUCGAUCUACGUUUCUACCAAUCGUUUUGAGGUCAUGGGUGACUUGGAACUUGCUUGAGGCUACCCAAACCAUGGGUUUUGGUUUGGUGAAUUUUGUGAUACAUUGCAAGGUGGAGUCUAGGAGACCUAAGCUUGAUAUCCGCGCAACCAGGUGAGUAUUCUACUCACUGAGGGAUCUUAAGAAUUUAGAUAUAUGAAUUGCUAUGUUUAGUUUAAUUUGAUGUUAACCCUAUGAUGAUGAUUUGGUAUAUGUGAUUAUGAAUUAUAUUGUGAAAAAUAAAAUAUGUUGAUGAAUUGAUAUUGAAGAUAUGCAUGAAAAUAUAUGAGGAUGAGUUUGUGAGAUAUUUGGAUUGAGAAUUGUAAUGAUAAAUGGACGUUGAUGAAAUUGGUUGUAUUUAUGAUUAUGGAAUAGUGGCUAAAAAUAUAUAUGUGAUUGAGUUGUGAGAAUUGCGAUGAUAAGUUUAUAUUGAUAUGCUUGAAAUGGCUUGGGGUUAAAUAACAUGAAGUUGGAAUGAUGAUUUGUGUAGUAUGAGAUUAUGUGUUAAAUAUGAGUUUGUUGUGGAAUGUGGUAUGUUUUGAAAGAAAGAUGUUUGGGAAUACACAUGUGAUGAUAUGUAUAUGGUAUGGAUGCUUUGGUAUUAUGAGAACUCGGUAGUUGAUAGAUGAUAAGUCUAGUGUUGUAGUAUCUGGCACAGUGGUAGGCCAUAGGGUAGUAGCUCUUGGCUGAGAUGUGUAGUAAGCCUAGCAUUGAAGUGCUAGCACUCGUGAGAUGUGUGCCCUGCGGGUCGAAGCUUUACAGGCAGUGUUGACAGUAAGCCUAGCAUUGAAGUGCUAGAACUAGUGAGAUAUGUGGUAAGCCUAGCAUUGAAGUGCUAGUUCACGUGAGAUGUGUGCCCUGCGGGUCGAAGCGUUACUGGCAGUGUUGACUGAUGAGUGCCAAAAAGUGUAUAUUUGGACCCCUUAAUUUACAUUAGUUAAACCUUUAGCUUUGUUACUUUCUGAUGUUUUGGUUAGUUUUAGUGUUUUUGCAUUUUGCAGGGCAAUAAGAGAAAAAUGACAAUUUUCAAAGCAAAAAUACAUUGAAAAGCUGGAUUUUCGAAAGUGCUGAAAAAGUAGAUCGAUCGAAUAUUAAGUAGAUUGAUCGAAAAGUAGAUCGAUCGAAUAUUAAGUAGAUCGAUGAAAAGUAGAUCGAUCGAUCGAAUUUUGCGGGACAGAAACCCUAGCUAACUCUAUAAAUACGUCUUUUUCUCAUUUUCUCAACACGAGGAGCCGCGGCAGAGACC